CCUCUCCUCGCGCCCCGGCCUCCUCCUGGCGCUCGCCGCCGGCGCCGCCUCCGCUCGUCCUCGUCGGGCGAGGACGACGCCCUCGCCUCCCAGUCGCGCCCCGCGUGGGCCUCCCCAGCUCCAGCCCAGCAUCGCGAGGCCCAGCGCCUUCCAGCCGGCCCGCAGCUCCCCAGGCCCAGCCGCAGCCAGCCCCAGGCCCCGCCGAAGCCGCGCCAGGCCCAGCCGGCCUCCUCCACCGAGCCGGCCCAAGUGCCAUGGUGAACCGACUCGCUCCCGCAUAGGCUAGGGUUCCCCCCGCCGCCGCCGCCGCCCCCAGUCCCUGACUCGUAUGCUCAUCACCGCGGCUAGCUCCGGCGACAUGACCAGAGGGUAGGAGCCAUCUUCCGUCGCUUCUCCAACCUCGGGCAUGACCCCUACCUUCCCCAGUGGCCAGGAGCAGCUCGUGUUGGUCCCGUCGGUGCCCUACUCCGGUGGUCGGUGCCCCACUCCGGCCGCGACCCAGUCCGACGAGAAGGAGCCCCGUUCGUUUCCCUCCCCUCCUCAGUCUGUGGCCAUGAGCUCGGCCGGCAAGGAGCUUAUUCUGACAACAUAGCUCAAAAGAACUGGCCGUGAAGCGGACUCGCGCGGAGGAGCUCUGCCUCUGGGCCAGGCGCGUAGCUGGCGUCCAUCUCGGCGCCGGGGAGGGAGGAACAAGGGCGCGGCUGAGUCCGCUGCCUUCGCCACUCACCACUGCCUGCCGAUGUGGUUGUCUGCAUCUUCAUGAGCCACGACCGACCACCCCGUCGUCGCUAGCCAUUCUCGCGCCAGAGAUAUCCUUCGACCGUUGUUGUGUCCCGCCAGCCCCUAGGCGCCCUUGUCCGGACAAGUUCCACUGUUCCCCUUCAGGUCCUCCUCAACACCCAACCGCAACCGGCAACCAAGGUUAUUUUCCGAGCCACGGCAUUGAUCCGUUCGUGGUCGCUACUCACUCCGAUGAAGGCCAGGGAGCAUUUGGUUACUGGAUCCAUCCGAUGGGAGAUGGUAGCUCGGGAUAUCUUCAACCGAUUUGGAUGGCGGUCAUGUAAUAGGAUAGGCAAUUAGUUUACCUAUCUAUCUUUAGCCAGCCGGUUCUGGCGUCUUUCUUUGGCUAGUUAGUGUUUCUAGUCCUUUUUGGCUCUGUGUGAGCUUUCUUUUCAGUUUUUUUACUGUUGGAGACUUUGGCACC
rnacentral:rRNA from 1 species